rnacentral:rRNA from 1 species
CRRCMGCGGYAAUUYCAGCUCCAAUAGCGUAUAUUAAAGUUGUUGCAGUUAAAAAGCUCGUAGUUGAAUUUCGGGAUUGACACAUCGGUCGUGCCUUAAGGGGUAUGAACUGGUGUAGUCAAUUUCUCACCUUCUGGAGAACCGCGAUGCCCUUAAUUGGGUGUCACGGGGAACCAGGACCUUUACUUUGAAAAAAUUAGAGUGUUUAAAGCAGGCAUUCUGCUUGAAUACAUUAGCAUGGAAUAAUAAAAUAGGACGGCAUGAUUCUAUUUUGUUGGUUUCUAGGAUCACCGUAAUGAUUAAUAGGGAUAGUUGGGGGCAUUAGUAUUCAAUUGUCAGAGGUGAAAUUCUUGGAUUUAUUGAAGACUAACUACUGCGAAAGCAUUUGCCAAGGAUGUUUUCAUUAAUCAAGAACGAAAGUUAGGGGAUCGAAGACGAUCAGAUACCGUCGUAGUCUUGACCAUAAACUAUGCCGACUAGGAAUCAGACGAUGUWAAKUWUKYMMUGACUCGUUCGGCCCUACGGGGGAAAAAAAAAUAGU